CUCAGCGUCAAGAGUGAUUUUGCUGAACUUUUUAAGUUGACACUAUGCACAGCACUGUGAGCUCUGCCUUGGAAGUUCCAAGUAAAAAGCCUUCUGCAUGCCUGAACUGGAUGGGGGUGGAAUAUCUGCACUCAUGCAGAGGGACACGGAAACUCUCAC